AGUGAACGCUGGCGGUAGGCCUAACACAUGCCAGUCGAACGGCAGCACAGUAAGAGCUUGCUCUUACGGGUGGCGAGUGGCGGACGGGUGAGGAAUACAUCGGAAUCUACUUUUUCGUGGGGGAUAACGUAGGGAAACUUACGCUAAUACCGCAUACGACCUACGGGUGAAAGCAGGGGAUCUUCGGACCUUGCGCGAUUGAAUGAGCCGAUGUCGGAUUAGCUAGUUGGCGGGGUAAAGGCCCACCAAGGCGACGAUCCGUAGCUGGUCUGAGAGGAUGAUCAGCCACACUGGAACUGAGACACGGUCCAGACUCCUACGGGAGGCAGCAGUGGGGAAUAUUGGACAAUGGGCGCAGGCCUGAUCCAGCUAUACCGCGUGGGUGAAGAAGGCCUUCGGGUUGUAAAGCCCUUUUGUUGGGAAAGAAAAGCAGCAGGUUAAUACCCCGCUGUUCUGACGGUACCCAAAGAAUAAGCACCGGCUAACUUCGUG
rnacentral:rRNA from 1 species